rnacentral:rRNA from 1 species
AGUGAACGCUGGCGGUAGGCCUAACACAUGCAAGUCGAACGGCAGCACAGGAGAGCUUGCUCUCUGGGUGGCGAGUGGCGGACGGGUGAGGAAUACAUCGGAAUCUACUCUGUCGUGGGGGAUAACGUAGGGAAACUUACGCUAAUACCGCAUACGACCCACGGGUGAAAGCAGGGGACCUUCGGGCCUUGCGCGAUUGAAUGAGCCGAUGUCGGAUUAGCUAGUUGGCGGGGUAAAGGCCCACCAAGGCGACGAUCCGUAGCUGGUCUGAGAGGAUGAUCAGCCACACUGGAACUGAGACACGAUCCAGACUCCUACGGGAGGCAGCAGUGGGGAAUAUUGGACAAUGGGCGCAAGCCUGAUCCAGCCAUACCGCGUGGGUGAAGAAGGCCUUCGGGUUGUAAAGCCCUUUUGUCGGGAAAGAAAUCCAGCUGGCUAAUACCCGGUUGGGAUGACGGUACCCAAAGAAUAAGCACCGGCUAACUUCGUGCCAGCCGCCGCCGUAA